rnacentral:rRNA from 1 species
CCUUACCUGGCCUUGACAUCCUGCGAACUUUCCAGAGAUGGAUUGGUGCCUUCGGGAACUCUGAGACAGGUGCUGCAUGGCCGUCGUCAGCUCGUGUCGUGAGAUGUUGGGUUAAGUCCCGUAACGAGCGCAACCCCUAUCCCUGGUUGCUAGCAGGUAAUGCUGAGAACUCCAGGGAGACUGCCGGUGACAAACCGGAGGAAGGUGGGGAUGACGUCAGGUCAUCAUGGCCCUUACGGCCAGGGCUACACACGUGCUACAAUGGCGCGUACAGAGGGCUGCCAACUCGCGAGAGUGAGCCAAUCCCUUAAAACGCGUCGUAGUCCGGAUCGGAGUCUGCAACUCGACUCCGUGAAGUCGGAAUCGCUAGUAAUCGCGAAUCAGAAUGUCGCGGUGAAUACGUUCCC